rnacentral:lncRNA from 1 species
CCAAAAGCCCCGCUAAUGCGGAGGGGAAAGAGAGGCUGGAGAUGUUGCUGUCUCCGUGUGAAAGCCAAGCUCCGGGUGGCUGCUUUUGGUGGCAGAUCCGAUUUCAAAGGAUCUCAGGGUUACAAGUGUUUUUGAUACCAACCUCCGGCAUUUUAAGAUGUCCGCUUAGAACAACAGGAAGAUUUAAAUGGGUGUUUAAAAAAAUCAGCCUAAGCUGGAUCUCUCCCGCUGGAAAUGUGCUUUGCUGGAAGCCAAGGCAAAGUCCUGGAGCAGAGGAUGCUCUCAGGAAUAAGUGUGAUGCUUCCCUGCUCCUGAUAGUCUCUUGAACAGCUUCAGGUUUUGUGCCGUGGCUCUUCUAGAGGCUGAAUUAAUCCAGCCAACAUCGAAAAUGAGCAAAUAGUCUGUUACCAGGAUGGCUUGAAUUUGGUUCCCUAGGAAAUUAUACAGGAGACCUUUUUAAUCUUGGGCUGGUGUGUAACCACAUCACAACCCAGAAACUAGUGGGGGACAAACUGGAGAGCUGCGACUCCUCCCAGCAGCUCUGAGAGUAUGAAGGAGUCGUUUCGGCAAUGUGGAAUAAGAACUGUCGUUAGAUCUUGAUUAUGCUAAAGUGUCCAGGAGUGAAAUAUUUAAAAUACUGAUAUUUGCUUUCUCCUGAAUUUCAGCGCUAACAGCCCAUUCUGACAAGCAGGGCUACUUCAUGUGUCAAGGAUCCGGGAUGCUUCAGACACAGAAAGUCCCGAGAAUAUUCAUCUCUCUUAUUCUCGAGAC